rnacentral:rRNA from 1 species
UACAGAGGGUGCGAGCGUUGUUCGGAAUUAUUGGGCGUAAAGGGCGCGUAGGCGGUGCGGUAAGUCACCUGUGAAAUCUCCUGGCUCAACUGGGAGCUUGCAGGCGAAACUGCCGUGCUGGAGUGUGGGAGAGGUGAGUGGAAUUCCGAGUGUAGAGGUGAAAUUCGUAGAUAUUCGGAAGAACACCAGUGGCGAAGGCGACACACUGGGCCAUUCUGACGCUGAGGUGCGAA